rnacentral:tRNA from 1 species
GUAUAGCUCAGUGGUAGAGCACAUGCUUAGCAUGCAGAAGGUCCUGGAUUCAAUCCCCAGUAC